AAAUAGUUAUUUCAAUAACACAAGAAUUUAAUAGAAUCUACAAAAAGUCAAAAUGAAUAACACUAGAAUUCAAAUUCUGUUUAAUUCUAUCAAUUUCCUUCGUCCAAUACCCCCCCCCCCUAAAAAGCUACGCUUCUCUUCUUCUCUUCUCUCUUUUACACAUUCGAUCUCUCUUACUGAAACAACAGAGAAGUAAGCUCGGCGAUUUCGAGUUUGUUCCCAGACGAGUUUGUUCUUGAUUCAGCUUCCUCUGUUCAUCAAUCUCCUGACUUCAAAGUGACUUUGGAUUUGACCCACUUGGACUUGGAGAAGUUCCAGAGAACCUUGAGAGAUACAAAGAAUCAGAGCUCAUCCACUGUAGAUGGGCUAUGCUCGCUGUUGUUUAGUCUUCGUUUAUAGGAUUCUGUGUGCAACAGUCGGCUUACCCGGGGACUGGACCAUUGGAGAACCUAGCAACUCACUUGGCGAUAUUGUUAUUCCUUCCAACUAAUGAAUGUAAAAAUAGAAAUAUGUACCUUAUGAGCUUUAUGUGUAUCAAAAACAGUGUGUAAGGAAAGUCAGAUUUGUGAAAACCUGUAUUUUGUCUUGGUACUCGAUUUGCUCGUGUGAGCUUGAAUUCUAAGUGAUGAAACCUUUUGAACCCAAAUAAGGUUAAUUUGUAAUAUAUUAAAUCU